rnacentral:rRNA from 1 species
GGGUUGUGAGGUUAAGCGACUAAGCGUACACGGUGGAUGCCCUGGCAGUCAGAGGCGAUGAAGGGCGUGCUAAUCUGCGAUAAGCGCCGGUAAGGUGAUAUGAACCGUUAUAACCGGCGAUACCCGAAUGGGGAAACCCAGUGUGAUUCGUCACACUAUCAUUAACUGAAUCCAUAGGUUAAUGAGGCGAACCGGGGGAACUGAAACAUCUAAGUACCCCGAGGAAAAGAAAUCAACCGAGAUUCCCCCAGUAGCGGCGAGCGAACGGGGAGGAGCCCAGAGCCUGAAUCAGCAUGUGUGUUAGUGGAAGCGUCUGGAAAGGCGCGCGAUACAGGGUGACAGCCCCGUACACAAAAGCGCAUGUGUUGUGAGCUCGAUGAGUAGGGCGGGACACGUGGUAUCCUGUCUGAAUAUGGGGGGACCAUCCUCCAAGGCUAAAUACUCCUGACUGACCGAUAGUGAACCAGUACCGUGAGGGAAAGGCGAAAAGAACCCCGGCGAGGGGAGUGAAAAAGAACCUGAAACCGUGUACGUACAAGCAGUGGGAGCACCCUUUGGGGUGUGACUGCGUACCUUUUGUAUAAUGGGUCAGCGACUUAUAUUCUGUAGCAAGGUUAACCGAAUAGGGGAGCCGGAGGGAAACCGAGUCUUAAUUGGGCGUUAAGUUGCAGGGUAUAGACCCGAAACCCGGUGAUCUAGCCAUGGGCAGGUUGAAGGUUGGGUAACACUAACUGGAGGACCGAACCGACUAAUGUUGAAAAAUUAGCGGAUGACCUGUGGCUGGGGGUGAAAGGCCAAUCAAACCGGGAGAUAGCUGGUUCUCCCCGAAAGCUAUUUAGGUAGCGCCUCGUGAAUUCAUCUCCGGGGGUAGAGCACUGUUUCGGCUAGGGGGCCAUCCCGGCUUACCAACCCGAUGCAAACUGCGAAUACCGGAGAAUGUUAUCACGGGAGACACACGGCGGGUGCUAACGUCCGUCGUGAAGAGGGAAACAACCCAGACCGCCAGCUAAGGUCCCAAAGUCAUGGUUAAGUGGGAAACGAUGUGGGAAGGCCCAGACAGCCAGGAUGUUGGCUUAGAAGCAGCCAUCAUUUAAAGAAAGCGUAAUAGCUCACUGGUCGAGUCGGCCUGCGCGGAAGAUGUAACGGGGCUAAACCAUGCACCGAAGCUGCGGCAGCGACACUAUGUGUUGUUGGGUAGGGGAGCGUUCUGUAAGCCUGUGAAGGUGUGUCGUGAGGCAUGCUGGAGGUAUCAGAAGUGCGAAUGCUGACAUAAGUAACGAUAAAGCGGGUGAAAAGCCCGCUCGCCGGAAGACCAAGGGUUCCUGUCCAACGUUAAUCGGGGCAGGGUGAGUCGACCCCUAAGGCGAGGCCGAAAGGCGUAGUCGAUGGGAAACGGGUUAAUAUUCCCGUACUUGGUGUUACUGCGAAGGGGGGACGGAGAAGGCUAUGUUGGCCGGGCGACGGUUGUCCCGGUUUAAGCGUGUAGGUGUGUGUUCCAGGUAAAUCCGGUUCACUUUAACACUGAGGCGUGACGACGAGGCACUACGGUGCUGAAGCAACAAAUGCCCUGCUUCCAGGAAAAGCCUCUAAGCAUCAGGUAACAUCAAAUCGUACCCCAAACCGACACAGGUGGUCAGGUAGAGAAUACCAAGGCGCUUGAGAGAACUCGGGUGAAGGAACUAGGCAAAAUGGUGCCGUAACUUCGGGAGAAGGCACGCUGACACGUAGGUGAAGUGAUUUACUCAUGGAGCUGAAGUCAGUCGAAGAUACCAGCUGGCUGCAACUGUUUAUUAAAAACACAGCACUGUGCAAACACGAAAGUGGACGUAUACGGUGUGACGCCUGCCCGGUGCCGGAAGGUUAAUUGAUGGGGUCAGCGCAAGCGAAGCUCCUGAUCGAAGCCCCGGUAAACGGCGGCCGUAACUAUAACGGUCCUAAGGUAGCGAAAUUCCUUGUCGGGUAAGUUCCGACCUGCACGAAUGGCGUAAUGAUGGCCAGGCUGUCUCCACCCGAGACUCAGUGAAAUUGAACUCGCUGUGAAGAUGCAGUGUACCCGCGGCAAGACGGAAAGACCCCGUGAACCUUUACUAUAGCUUGACACUGAACAUUGAGCCUUGAUGUGUAG